rnacentral:rRNA from 1 species
GACGAACCGUGCGAACGUUGUUCGGAUUCACUGGGCUUAAAGGGCGCGUAGGCGGGUGGCCAAGUCGGGGGUGAAAUCCUUCAGCUUAACUGAAGAACAGCCUUCGAUACUGGUCGUCUGGAGGGGGGUAGGGGCAGACGGAACUUCCGGUGGAGCGGUGAAAUGCGUAGAUAUCGGAAGGAACGCCGGCGGCGAAAGCGG